GACGAACGCUGGCGGCGUGCCUAAUACAUGCAAGUAGAACGCUGAAGGAGGAGCUUGCUUCUCCGGAUGAGUUGCGAACGGGUGAGUAACGCGUAGGUAACCUGCCUGGUAGCGGGGGAUAACUAUUGGAAACGAUAGCUAAUACCGCAUAACAGUAGAUAUCGCAUGAUAUCUGCUUGAAAGGUGCAAUUGCAUCACUACCAGAUGGACCUGCGUUGUAUUAGCUAGUUGGUGAGGUAACGGCUCACCAAGGCGACGAUACAUAGCCGACCUGAGAGGGUGAUCGGCCACACUGGGACUGAGACACGGCCCAGACGCCUACGGGAGGCAGCAGUAGGGAAUCUUCGGCAAUGGACGGAAGUCUGACCGAGCAACGCCGCGGGAGUGAAGAAGGUUUUCGGAUCGUAAAGCUCUGUUGUAAGAGAAGAACGAGUGUGAGAGUGGAAAGUUCACACUGUGACGGUAUCUUACCAGAAAGGGACGGCUAACUACGUG
rnacentral:rRNA from 1 species